rnacentral:rRNA from 1 species
CCUACGGGAGGCAGCAGUAAGGAAUCUUCCACAAUGGACGAAAGUCUGAUGGAGCAACGCCGCGUGCAGGAUGAAGGCUUUCGGGUCGUAAACUGCUUUUAUAUGGGAAGAUUAUGACGGUACCAUAUGAAUAAGGACCGGCUAACUACGUGCCAGCAGCCGCGGUAAUACGUAGGGUCCAAGCGAUAUCCGGAAUUACUGGGCGUAAAGCGUGUGUAGGUGGAUUAAUAAGUGUGAUGCGAAAUCCGGCGGCUCAACCGUUUGGACUGUGUCGCAUACUGUUAGUCUAGAGGACGGCAGAGGUAAGUGGAAUUACGGGUGUAGCAGUGAAAUGCGUAGAUAUCCGUAGGAACACCAAUGGCGAAGGCAGCUUACUGGGCCACACCUGACACUGAGACACGAAAGCGUGGGGAGCGAACAGGAUUAGAUACCCUGGUAGUCCACGCCGUAAACGAUGCAUACUAUUAGUAUGGGGUAUCGACCCCCUGUGCUGAGAAGCUAACGCGAUAAGUAUGCCGCCGNGGAGGAGAGCGCGAGAACGUUAAACGUUAAAGUUAAAGUUAGUAGGCGUUGAGAGNGCGACGGACGACGACGAGGGAGGAGG